GAUUGGUCGCUAUUACUCGCCCUGAGGUGGAAGGGGGGAGACUCUUUAAAGUGCGUCAGAGGGAGGCGAGUGCCUGGGAACCCGGAGGCCUGGAUCCGGGCCGAGAGUGGAACGGAGUCGGCGCCGCUGCCUCGACCGUGCCUCCCGCGCCCGCCAGGCCGCCUGGCCUCUCCGCGCUGUAGCCCCGCGCUCCUAGCUCACUCGCUCCCGCGGCGCCCGCUGAGGCUUCUUCUCCUCCUCUUUCGCCUCCUCCUCUUCCUUCAGCCUCUCCUCCUCCUCCUCCUCUUCCUCCUUCUUCUCCUCCUCCUCUUCUUCCUCCUCCUCUUUCCCCACCUCCUCCCACUCAGCCACCGCCUCCUUCUCUCCACCACCACCACUCCCUGCGGGGCACCCGGGUCCCUGCAGAGCACCCGGCCGGUGCCGCCUCCGCUGCGGUCCCUUCGAUCCCGAGCCUGCUGAACCCGAACUGGUGGGACAGACGGACAGACUGACACACAGAUUCCUCACCCCUAGCGCGCCUCCGCCGCUGCCCACCGCGACCCCGCGUCAGGGGAGCUCGGAUCGCCCCGGGAGCACACAAGGGAGACAUCUGGGCUGGGAGAAGCUGAGAGUGGACGGUGAAGAAGUCAGGCGUGGCCCCUCUGAGCCUCCCAGGCUGGCAAAUGUCUACGUUUCUCGGGAAGUUGUGAGCACAGAGGAUUUCCCCAGGAAUCCAGUCCGGACUUGUAAAGAAAUGAUCCCAACAUCAAGAAAAGAAACCGGCCAGUAAAUUCCUAUCAGUUUUAGCUGCAGUCCUGCCUUCCAACAGCUUCUGGCCACCAUGAGAGAACUGGCGUCACCAUAUACAGCUGAUGUCAUUUCAGAUCACCACAAAGGAAUGCAAAGUAUCGGUCAGCGCAAGUGAUCUUGUUGGGAGUAACUUCACCACUUCAUGAGACUCAUUGCAAAAGUGCUCAGGAAUCUGCAGAAUAAUCUCCAACAACCCUGGAGUUCUGGAAUCCCUGUACUGUACACCCUCACUCCCGCCAGGGGUGCUGGUGCCUGAGGGAUGGCAAGCCGUCACCUCCAUCUCUUCUAACUGCUACAGGCCACCCACAGACCAGGCUCAUUGCUGAGGCCAAGCAGGGCGGGAGACUCAUGCAACUUCCGGGAUGUCCGCUUAGGUUCUGGUCCCCCAAGCGCGUGGAGUACAGAAACCUGGCUGGGCACGUGAGCCUCUCUGUGACUGUACAAAGUCAUAUCAGAAUUUGAAUUGCUGAAAAAGCUGAAGAUGAGAGGCAGGGCCACAGAAAGACUGGGAAGAAGAUUCCAGAGAUGAACUGACCCAAACUUUCAGGAAUACAGGUGUCCCAGCCUGAGGCCAGAGCAAGUGCAAAGCCAGGUGUGUCACAGUGACCACAGAAGUAAAGCAGGACCCUGAGGAGGACCCCUGGGAGGGGCUCAAGGGGGCUGGAGUGGAGCUGUCGCUCCAGCCAAGAGAUCAGUGAGGAGGCUCUUGUGGUUACCAUCAGGCACAUGACAACGGUGACUUGAUCCAGGGUGAAAGGGUUAAGGGAGCCCCUGGAGAAGGAAAGCAUGCGAUGCGACCAAGUGCCCUGAAGCCCCGCUGCGAGGGAACUGGGCAGGUGAUUCUAAUGUCCAGCCAUGGUUGAGAACCAAACCAAUCAACAUAGUAAUUUCAUUCUCUUUGCCAGUGAUUGACUUAAGAAUGGACACAUGGCAUUUUUAUGGCAUAAGAGGAGACAUAAAUGGAAGUCUGAUCCAAAUUCUUCAAAAGGGGCAUGAGAAAAAGUUAUGUCUUCUUCUGGCCUUUGGACAUUGUUGUGUGAGAGUGAUGGCCAUGUUGUGACCAUGAGGGACAAACUUGCAAAGAUCAAUAUGCUGAAGAUGGCAAAGCAAAAGCAUGGCAAGAACCUUGGUCUGGCAUUUGCUAUUGAAGCCUCACAUUUGACAUUGAACUGCUAAGUUAUGCAACCCUGGAGCCACCUCAUCUCUGGACUUCUGGUUAUAUGAGAUAGUAAAUGUUCCUUGUUAGUUAAA